GUCUGUAGACAUAUGGCGCAGUGAGUCAGUGCAUCUAGCUGUUAAUAACUAGGAGGUUGUUGGUUCGAGCCCACCUAGGGACA